GUCAAGUGAUGAUAAAUGAAAUCUUAGGUGACUGCAGGCAAAGCACAAAACCAGAGUUCCUAGAGAUCAUUGUCUGAAAUCUUGAUGUUUGUGUCGAGAAUCACGCAGACAUUGUAAGGCCGGACAUACAACAUGUUGCAUUGGUAACUCUUCUGUUAACAGCUGUCUUGCAUUGCUUUAGCACUGUAGCAUGGAAGAUACGUGAAGAGUGGCCACAGUCCUGGGGUAGACUGUAUUUUACUGGGAGAGGUGUAGGCCAAGGGUGGAUUAGGCCCAAUGGGAUGGGUUAGGUCAUUGGGGUUUGGGUGGGAGGGAAUUGCAAAGGUGCCUUGCAGUUGCUAAUGAUGGUUUCUUUAGUAAUCUGAUGGCA
rnacentral:snoRNA from 1 species